rnacentral:rRNA from 1 species
CGGGGUGCAGCAGUGGGGAAUAUUGGACAAUGGGCGCAAGCCUGAUCCAGCCAUACCGCGUGGGUGAAGAAGGCCUUCGGGUUGUAAAGCCCUUUUGUUGGGAAAGAAAAGCAGUCGAUUAAUACUCGGUUGUUCUGACGGUACCCAAAGAAUAAGCACCGGCUAACUUCGUGCCAGCAGCCGCGGUAAUACGAAGGGUGCAAGCGUUACUCGGAAUUACUGGGCGUAAAGCGUGCGUAGGUGGUUGUUUAAGUCUGUUGUGAAAGCCCUGGGCUCAACCUGGGAAUUGCAGUGGAUACUGGGCGACUAGAGUGUGGUAGAGGGUAGUGGAAUUCCCGGUGUAGCAGUGAAAUGCGUAGAGAUCGGGAGGAACAUCCAUGGCGAAGGCAGCUACCUGGACCAACACUGACACUGAGGCACGAAAGCGUGGGGAGCAAACAGGAUUAGAUACCCGCGU